UGCUAUCGGGGUGAGGCUAAGCCAUGGGAGUCGCGCGCCCAGCCGCCGCUGGCGCGCACGGCUGAGUAACACGUAGCUAACCUACCCUCGGGACGGGGAUAACCCCCGGGAAACUGGGGCUAAUCCCCCGAUAGGCGAGGGGGCCUGGAAUGGUCCCUCGCCGAAAGGGACCCUGGGGGGUUAUCGCCUGCGGUCCGCCCGAGGAUGGGGCUGCGGCCCAUCAUGGUAGUUGGCGGGGGUAAUGGCCCGCAAGCCGACGACGGGUAGGGGCCGUGGGAGCGGGAGCCCCCAGAUGGGCCCUGAGACAAGGGCCAGGCCUACGGGCGCACCAGGCGCGAAACCUCCGAAUGCGGGAAACCGUGACGGGGUCACCCC
rnacentral:rRNA from 1 species